GACAUCUUGUGGUGUACACGAGGAAGUGCCUGCUCAGACUUCCCUCGUCCCGCUCGAAACCACGCCCACUUAUGUGUCAUUCCUGACGUCACCCGACGUCACCAGGAAGUGCACUCAACCCGAGGCGGCGGCAACAUGGCGGAGUACACAGACGCACACGCUGGUGGAGCUGCCAAGGACAUGCCCGAGCUCUCAGACGAGGAUGAAGAGCAGUGGCAGUGUAUGGACGAGGAGGAGGAGGAGGAGGACGGUCAGCCGGUGAGCUGUCUGUUCUGUGAAAGACUGCUGAGCUCUGUAGCUGCCACCUUGCAGCACUGCACGGCCGAGCAUCAGGUCAACCUCGUAGACGUGAUAAGAAAACACAGUUUAGACGACUACGGAUACAUAAAAAUGAUCAACUUCGUACGGUCAACAAAAUGUGAUGCAUCCUGUUUGAUGGGGCUGCCAGACGCUCCGUUACCCUGGGAGAGUGAAGCCUUCCUGCGGCCUGUCCUACAGGACGACCCCCUGCUGCAGACGGAUCCCGAGGAGCUCUGUGACACUCAGGGGUCGAGUGCGUCGUCGUGCCCAUCGUCCGGGCCCGGGUCCCAUGAUGCAACGCUGCUGAGGGCACAGGCUGCCGAGGAGCGAGCCCGUCAGUCUGAGGAGGCGCUGUCCAGAGCCAUGGACGACCUGCACAAACUCAAGCUGCUCGCUCAGGGUUUGGUGCUGAAUGCGGAAACGGGCCGACCGGGUAACCUGGGCACCGUGGCCGAGCUCCGCGAAGAUGAGGACGAGGCCUACUUUAGCUCCUACGGCCACUACGGCAUCCACGAGGAGAUGCUGAAGGAUAAAGUGCGCACCGAGAGUUACCGCGACUUCAUGUACCGCAACCCUGAAGUGUUCCGAGACAAGGUGGUGCUCGACGUGGGCUGUGGCACGGGCAUACUGUCCAUGUUCGCCGCCAGAGCCGGAGCCAAGAAGGUUAUCGCAGUCGACCAAUCAGAAAUCAUCUAUCAAGCCAUGGACAUAGUCAGAUCCAACCAGUUGGAGGACAAGAUCACGCUGAUCAAAGGCCGCAUAGAAGACAUCAGCCUCCCCGUGGAGAAGGUGGACAUCAUCAUCUCCGAAUGGAUGGGCUACUUCCUGCUGUUUGAGUCCAUGUUGGACUCUGUCCUGUACGCUAGAGACCUCUACUUGGCCGAUGGCGGCUCAGUCUACCCAGACCUUUGCAAUAUCAGCCUGGCGGCAGUGGGCGACACGCAGAAGCACCGCGACCGCAUUGCAUUCUGGGAUGACGUGUAUGGCUUCAACAUGGCGUGCAUGAAGAAGGCGGUGGUGCCCGAGGCUGUUGUACAGGAGGUGAACGCAGACACCCUCAUCUCGGAACCUGCAGUCAUACAGACGAUUGACUGUAACAGAGUGUGCCUGUCUGAGCUGGAGUUUGCAUCUGAUUUCUGCUUGAAGAUAACAAACACUACAGACUGCACUGCGGUUGUCGGCUACUUUGACAUUUUCUUCGACAAAGGCUGCAGCGACAAGGUGAUGUUCUCCACAGGUCCUCAAGUCACAAAGACGCACUGGAAACAGACAGUGUUCCUCCUGGAGAGGCCCAUUCCUGUCCAAGCAGGGACACAGUCCAGGGAUGGAUUCACAUCGUCCUUCCUAUGGGCUUUUCCUGUCUACUCUUCCUUGACCUCAGUGGAAAACGUCAUGAGGUCAAGAAAAGGUGUGAAGGAGGACUGACAGGACUUUGGAAAAGCCGCCAGCGCUGCUCAGAGAAUCCGACUCCACUCACACUAAACCAUGUCAUUAUGCGACAGAGGAUGUUGUUGGCGAAGAGCUCCAGGGAAAAAUCACCGUGCGCAAAAACAAGAAAGACCCUCGCUCGCUGCUCGUCACCCUCGAACUCCGAGACAGGAAGCAGACGUACCUCCUGCAGUGACGUCGUCCGUCACGUGACGCAGCGUCCAGCAAACGUGGUCCACCUCUCUAUUUCUUUUUAAACGAACAUUGAACAUGAAGUCACCAACGUAAAAAACGCCAGAGCAGGAACGAGUCACGCGCUCGGUUUCAAUGAUUCACAUGUAAGAAUUGUUUCUGGAAUAAAAAAGAAUAAAAAACGCUGUGUGAGGUUUCCUCCUCCUGAGCGUAUUUUAUUGAGCUCUUA